AUACGGAGGAGGCUAGCGUUGUUCGGAAUUACUGGGCGUAAAGCGCACGUAGGCGGAUUAAAAAGUUAGAGGUGAAAUCCCAGGGCUUAACCCUGGAACUGCCUUUAAAACUAGUAGUCUAGAGUUCGAGAGAGGUGAGUGGAAUUCCAAGUGUAGAGGUGAAAUUCGUAGAUAUUUGGAGGAACACCGGUGGCGAAGGCGGCUCACUGGCUCGAGACUGACGCUGAGGUGCGAAAGCGUGGGGAGCAAACAGGAUUAGAAACCCCAGUAGUCC
rnacentral:rRNA from 1 species